UGAAGGUGUGAUCCUGAUAAAAGGUGACCAAGACAAGGCAGUGAACGUGUCAUCCUGAUAAAAGCUAAGGGCACGCCAGUGCACGCCUAAUGCAGGCGGGGUGACACCUGCACAGUUCCAUCUGCUGCUUCACGACGUGUUGCUAACUCAGUCGCCGACCACUGGACUCUGGGCUGCUCCAUUCCUAACUUCCACAGUGUUGAUGGAUACCGAUGCAAGCCCUUCUGGGGAAGACACAGUGAGAGCCUCUCUCAGCCAUGCAUUCCUCAGCCUGACUGCAAGGUCGCAGCCCCCUACAAAGCCCAGUCUGAGUGCUUCCCAGGCUGCCAUGUGCCAGGUCUCCCUCCCACGGCUGUCCUGGAAGGCUCUGCUUUGCACCAACUUGCCAGCACUUGGC
rnacentral:lncRNA from 1 species